GGUAGGUAGAGAGAAGGGAACUGCCUUGCAAAAGGUCGCAGAGCAAGGAAAAGCAGUACUUUGAACACCCCAAAGGCUCCAGUCAGUUGGUCAAGGAGCCUCUCAUCCCAGUGUUAUGUCAAAGUUCAUCCCUGCAAAAUCUGUUGAGGACACGAGCAAUAGCUUUUAAUUGGUACCCAUGAAUACUUUAUCUAGGUCUGAGACUCAGCGACUACAGUGCCCUCAUUAUCAGUGCCUGGACCAACCCAUCCCUGAUAUAAAUAAUACAGGAUAAUUCCCAACAUCUAAAAAUAUUCUAUCCUCAGCUGUUCCCACCUUCAUCCUAUCGAUCAGAAGGUCUGCGUGUUUACAACAGCUCAUACAGAAAAUGAAGUUUAACUAUCUUCAUUUCAAGUACUGAAACCGCCUCUUUUCAGGACACUGCCAUGUAAGUUACAGCUUUUAUCACCAACUCCUUAAUAGUUGCCAGGUUCUUUGAAGUCCUUUGAAAGUGAACACAAUAAAAAGAUAUGAGCCGAGAUUGACCACAAGUUUCAUUUCUGCAGGUUCCUACGUGCCUUUGUUGGUCUUUUCAGCAAGCGAAUGGAAACCAAUUCUGUAUCUUCAAGACCAGACAAUGACAUUUUAGAGUUCCCCUGACUGGUAACAAGAGAGAAUAGAUGCAGCUUUACAGCAGCCAAUGCAUCACUACCUCUCAACUUUACCGUUAGCCUCAGGGUAGCGGAUGUCUGGAUUUAGAUCUGCAUCACCUGCAAAACCUGGUCAGCAGUGCCUGGUGAUAUUACAGCUGCAUGGCAGAGAGAAAGAGCAUCCGUGUGCAGGGACACAGGAGAGACAGCAUGGAAAGGAGCAGAAGAGCCCAGAGCUGGAGCUGGCAGGCUGCAGAAGAGCCCAGAGGCUGCUGUGGGCACUGCUGGGAGCCCCCCUUCCUCCAUGGGCUGCCCACCCUGUCUGCCCAGG